rnacentral:lncRNA from 1 species
AACUAAUCCUACUCCUCAUAGGGAAGCUAAAUUUAAAUGUUAUAGAAAUGUUGUAAACGAUGAAAUACGAAAAUGUAAACGUGAUAAUUAUUAUAAUAAUAAAUUUGAUAAUUGUAGAGGAAAUAUCCAUAAGACCUGGAAAGCUAUAAAUGAUGUUUUGAAGAAAUCUAAUGGCAACAAACAAUGUAAAACUAUAUUUUAUAAUGGUGAAUUAACUUAUGAUAAAAAUGUAAUUGUUAAUGGUUUCAAUGAAUAUUUUGGUACUGUUGGCAUUAAAAUUGCUGAUAACUUAGUUUGAAUGUAGAUUUUAACAGUUUUUUUAAUAAUGUAAAUUACGCUCAAUCAAUGUUUUGUGAAUCCAUAACAUUUGCAGAAAUUUUAGAUAUUGUAAAAAAAAAUAAGGAUAAUGCAAGUCCAGGUGACGACGACAUUAAUACAAAAGUUUUUAAAAAAUCUAUCUGUUUUGUUUUACAACCAUUGUGCAAUAUUUUUAAUCUCUCUCUGGAUCAAGGAGUGUUUCCUCAUAGACUUAAGAUUGCUAAAGUUAUCCCAGUUUUUACAAAGGGGGAUCGAGCCCAAUAAUCUAAUUAUAGAUCAAUAUCGCUUUUAUUAAUUUUUUCCAAGACUUUCGAAAAACUUGUUUAUAAGAGACUAAUUUCAUAUAUUGAUCAAAAUCAGAUUUUAUACCAAAGACAGUUUGGAUUCAGAAAAGGUUAUUCGACAUAUAUGGCUCUUGUAGAAUUAACUAACAAAAUAUCUCAAGUAUUCGAGGAAAACAAAUUUCUUAUUGGUAUAUUUUUAGAUUUAUCGAAAGCAGUCGACAGCAUUAAUCACGAAAUACUUUCAAACAAAAUGGAACGCUAUGGUAUAAGAGGUACACCCCUAAAAUGGUUUCGGAGUUAUCUCAGUGAUCGUAAACAAUAUACAUUUAUAGACAACCACAAAUCUGAUUUAUGUAAUAUAUCUGUUGGUGUGCCCCAGGGAUCCGUUUCGGGGGCCCCUAUUAUUUCUAUUGUUUAUAAAUGAUCUUCAAUUUAUUAGUGAUGUAUUAUACUCAAUUAUCUUUGCCGAUGACACAAGUCUCUUUAUUUCAGGUAAUGAUGUAGCAUAAGUUAAUAAUGUAUUGAACGUAGAAAUGAAAAAUGUUACUAAGUGGUUCUCUGCUAAUCGAUUGGCUGUAAAUAUUGAUAAAACUUGUUACAUGAUAUUCAAACCUAAGAAUAAGUUCAUUAAUGAAGACUUAAUACAAAUAUUUAUUGGAGAUUGCUUAAUACAACAAGUUAAACAAACAAAAAUUUAAGAGUUACAAUUGAUGAUAAAAUAAAAUGGAAAUAACAUAUUGAUGACAUUUGUUCAAAAAUUUCUCAAGCCGUAGGGGUAAUGAAUAGAUUAAAAACUGUUGUUCCAAUGGGGAUUCUUUUAACCCUGUAUUACACAAUGAUUUUACCUUAUUUAUCAUAUUGCAAUAUUGUAUGGGGGAACAGUGCAAUGUAUCUUAGAAAUAGAAUUGGAGUACUCCAGAAGCGUGCAAUACGAGUUAUUUGCAAUUCACAACUUCUUGCCCACACAACCCCUUUAUUUCAACAGUUGAUUAUUUUAAAGGUGGAUCAAAUGUGUAGUUUGCAAGUUGCAAUUUUUAUGUACUCCUAUUUUAAGAACAUUUUACCAGAUAGUUUUAAUAAUUAUUUCACUUCAAAUUGUACAAUUCAUAGCCACAGUACCAGAAAUUAAAAUCACUUAAGAUUGCCGUUAUAUAAAUAUAGUUUCUCUCAAACAACAAUUUCUUACACUGGUGUAAAAUCCUGGAAUUCAAUACCAGUAGAGAUUAAGAACAGUCAGACACUUUCUAAUUUUAAACGUAAAUUUAAACUGUAUAUUUUACAUAAAAACAAUUCAUAAAUAACUAGUGGUACAAUUUAAUUUUUUUGUUUGCCUGUUUAAUUUGCCAACUUAAUUUUGUUUUAUCAUGUACUGUACGUCGCUAUUGUUUGGGGGUUUUGGGUUGUUUUUUUUCAUUUUUUUUUUGUAUAUAUAAAUAUCCAAAAUAUCUAUUGUUCUGGGGAUUAGCCUCGACAAGCCCCUGGCCUUUGUUGGUCCCCCACAUGUUUUUUUUAUAUCUACAUGACUUAUUUAGUUCUUUGUUUAUGGACUUUAGAUUUUGUUCGCUAUGUGUUUCUCUUAAUAUUAUUGUUUGUUAAUCGUGUAUUUUUUUAUAUGUCUGAACAUGUAUGUAUACUUGUUUUUUUUAUGAACCACAUGUGGAAAUAAAACUUGAACCUUUGCAUGUAUAAGCUCAUCACUAGUUAAACAUGUAUAAAUUUGAAAGCAAUUUGAAGAAAUGGUCUGUUGAAAAAUUGGGUGUUCUCCUGAAGAUGUAUGAGAUGUACACAUAACACGCCAAUGUGUUUCGAGGUCAAGUAUUUCAAUAAUUAUGCCAUAAAAAACAGCCCAACAGAAAUAGAAAGCCUAUCGGGCCAACAAAUAAGAAUACACAGACCUGCAGGUAUUUAAAAUCUCUUAUGGAACAUGGUAACCCUUUUGUGUAUGUACCAACUAUAGUGUAUUCCAUGAUAUUACAGAUGUAGAAAUGUCCAAUAACUUUUUUGUAUUGAACUUUAUUUUCAAAGUGAUGCAUUGAUCUGUUAUUAAAAAAAUAAAAAUACAAGAUCAAUCAAUAAAUACAUUAAUGAUAAGCAAGUCAAGCGCAACAAUGAAUAAUGAAACAAGAAACUGGCAUUUGUUGAUCCAUGUCAUACAUUUCAUCUGUUUAUUAAUGUACAUAAAUCAUACCAAUCCAUAAUA